rnacentral:rRNA from 1 species
UACGAAGGACCCGAGCGUUAUCCGGAUUUACUGGGCGUAAAGCGCGCGUAGGCGGUCUGUUAAGUGCACAAGUGAAAGCUCCGGGCUCAACUCGGAAAUUGCUUUGCAUACUGGCAGGCUGGAGGGACGCAGAGGUCUGUGGAAUUCCUGGUGUAACGGUGAAAUGUGUUGAUAUCAGGAGGAACACCCAUGGCGAAGGCAGCAGACUGGGCGUUUCCUGACGCUGAGGCGCGAAAGCGUGGGUAGCAAACAGG